rnacentral:rRNA from 1 species
CGACCUGAGAUCAGACGAGAUA